AGCGAAACGGGAAGAGCCCAAACCAACAAGCUUGCUUGUUGGGGUUGUAGGACACUCUAUACGGAGUUACAAAGGACGACAUUAGACGAAUCAUCUGGAAAGAUGAAUCAAAGAAGGUAAUAAUCCUGUAGUCGAAAAUGUUGUCUCUCUUGAGUGGAUCCUGAGUACGACGGAGCACGUGAAAUUCCGUCGGAAUCUGGGAGGACCAUCUCCUAAGGCUAAAUACUCUCUAGUGACCGAUAGUGAACCAGUACCGUGAGGGAAAGGUGAAAAGCACCCCGGAAGGGGAGUGAAAUAGAACCUGAAACCGUGUGCUUACAAGUAGUCAGAGCCCGUUAAUGGGUGAUGGCGUGCCUUUUGUAGAAUGAACCGGCGAGUUACGAUUUGAUGCAAGGUUAAGCAGUAAAUGUGGAGCCGUAGCGAAAGCGAGUCUGAAUAGGGCGUUUAGUAUUUGGUCGUAGACCCGAAACCAGGUGAUCUACCCUUGGUCAGGUUGAAGUUCAGGUAACACUGAAUGGAGGACCGAACCGACUUACGUUGAAAAGUGAGCGGAUGAACUGAGGGUAGCGGAGAAAUUCCAAUCGAACCUGGAGAUAGCUGGUUCUCUCCGAAAUAGCUUUAGGGCUAGCCUCAAGUGAUGAUUAUUGGAGGUAGAGCACUGUUUGGACGAGGGGCCCCUCUCGGGUUACCGAAUUCAGACAAACUCCGAAUGCCAAUUAAUUUAACUUGGGAGUCAGAAC
rnacentral:rRNA from 1 species